AUCAGUCUGUGGUGACGCUGUCAACAUUCGACAAAUUCACUCCUAAUUUUUAGACAGUCGUUCUCACUUCUCAGUUAAUCAGAUCUCCUUUUCACUUCAGAGUUCAGCCUUAAUCUAUAAUCUUUGAAGUUAUGUUGACUGUCCAUUUAUGUCAUUUUUCAGUUGUGAAAUAUUUGUAAUUUCUGUUCAGUGAAUCGGCUGGGCUCGCUUAUAUUAAAAUCAUUUAUUUAGAAUAUUGAAUAGUGAUCUACAGUAACCGGGUACCAAUAUACUUCAAACUAUGCUCUAAGUCUUUUUUAUAAUAAUGGACAAAGAAAUUGUAUCUAAUGACACUAUGGAUGAACCUCCAAAGUAUGGCCUUAAAUUUGCAUUAAACCAUGAAUUUCCCCUUAAAAGCAAGCAACUUGUAAUACCAAGACCUAAACAAAUUUUUGAAAUGAUGCCUUUAACAACAAGGUAUCUUAAAUACUACUUAACACGAAAGAUGCAAAAAAGACGACCAAUAAUGGAUUAUAUUCAUAUGAUUUCUGCACAAAGAAUGUAUGGUUGUCCAAUUGGAGGCAUUGGCGGUGGUACCAUUGGCAGAGGAUUUAAAGGGGAAUUCUGCCGGUUCCAACUUUACCCUGGUAUUUACGAAUAUGUCACAGUACCAGAAUGUCAAUUCAUUGUAAAUAUUAGGAAUGCCAAGAAAGAGACCAUAUUUCAGUCAGUUUUAUCUACCUACAACAAACCAAAGAAAGUUCUUCAGUCAUGGGAAUGGAAAAUUAAUGGCUCAGAUUGUGAAUAUACAGCUUUAUAUCCAAGAGCUUGGACCACUUAUGAUCUUACAAAAUAUGGAAUUAAAUUAGUCUGUCGUCAAAUAUCGCCUGUGAUACCUCACAAUUACAAGGACAGUAGUUUGCCGUGUGCUGUUUUUGUAUUUUCAGCGAAAAAUGUUUGUAAUGAACAAAGAGAUGUAAGUAUAACGUUCACAUGGACCGAAGUUCUAGCAGAACCAAAAAAGAAGAAAGCAACGGGUAAAUUGGACUUGGAAAGAUAUUCCGAGGAAAAUACGUGCGGAGUGACCUUGGAACAGCGAAUAGUUGACCAGCCUUGCACGUUCACAAUAGCUAAAACGAAACAAGAAAACGAAACAAUCCAUGAAGGCUACUGCCUUUGGAACUCUGCAAAAACAUCCGGCUAUGUGUGGGAAUGCUUAAAGAAACACGGAAAAUUAGAACCUGAUCCGAGUCAGACGCCGACUCCGCCGAAAACUGACAAUAAAAAGGAAAAUAAGGAGAAGACGAAGAAGGUUUACAAAAAUGACUCCAUAGGAUUAUCUAGCGCAAUAUCUUUAGAGCCAGGAGGAUGUGGCUCAACCGAAUUUUGUCUUGUAUGGGACAUGCCAGUCAUAAAAUACAAAAAAGAUUGUAAAAUUCAUAAAAGAUAUUAUACAAAAUAUUUUGGCUGUGAUGGUACAGCUGGUGCUAGUAUAGCGGCAUACGCGCUUAGGAAUUAUAAAAAUUGGGAACAGCAACUCGCGGAAUGGCAAGAUCCCAUAUUAAAUAACAGUAAUGUACCCGAUUGGUUAAAAAGUGCCUUAAUGAAUGAGCUUUACUUCGUCGCAGACGGUGGAACAAUUUGGUUUGACGUCCCCGACGAGUUUCCCGAGACUGACCCGCGACAUGAAUUUGGUGUAUUCGGCUAUUUAGAGGGACACGAAUACAGGAUGUAUAACACUUAUGAUGUUCAUUUUUAUGCAUCUUUCGCACUCGCACAGCUCUGGCCUAAUUUACAAGUCGUGUUACAAUAUAUGUUCCGCGACUCGAUAGCAGUAGAAACGACGAAACUAAGGCAGUCGUUAUACGACGGCAAAUCUUGUAAUAUCAAAAUUAAGGAUUCCAUCCCGCACGAUUUGGGCGAUCCGGAGGGCGUACCGUUCACGCAAAUAAACGCAUACAACAUCCACGACGUGUCCGAGUGGCGCGACCUGAACCUCAAGUUCAUCUUGCAAGUGAUGCGCGACCACCGCCUGCUGCGGGCCUACAGCGCGCCCUUCGGCGACGAGCGCUGCCGCUCGCUGGCCUUCAUCGACGACGUGCGCGACGGCACCGAGGACGACCUGUACUCGCGCGCCACGGGGCAGGCCGACGACUCGGAGCGGCCGUCCCCCGCCCGCGCGCCCCCCGCGCCUCCCGGGCCCGCGCCCGAGCGGCCCGCCGGCGUGGCCGACAUCCUCGACCUGCUGUACCGCAGCUCCGAGCCCGCCGACGAGCGCGGCGAGGCGCUGCAGCCGCGCGAGGCGCCGGCCGCCGUGUGGGACAGUCGCCGCUACCUGGCCGACAUGUACCCCGCCUGCGCCGCGCUGCUGCGCCGCGUGGCGCUGUGGGACGAGGACGGCGACGGCCUCAUCGAGAACGGCGGCUUUCCGGACCAGACCUACGACGCGUGGGUAAUGACCGGCCCGAGCGCCUAUUGCGGCGGGUUGUGGGUAGCGGCGUUGAGCGUGGUCCAGACGAUGGCUCGGCUACUCGGCUUCGAGGAGGACGAGAGAGAGUUCUCGAAGUUACUGGAGCAGGCGCGCGCCUCCUAUGAAAAAAAACUUUGGAACGGUUCCUAUUAUAGAUUCGAUACGAAGCCAUGUAACUCUGAGGUAGUUAUGGCCGAUCAGCUUGCCGGACAUUGGUUCCUUCGGGCGUCCGGUUGGACCGAUCCAGUAUUCCCCGAAGCGAACGUUAAGAAAGCUUUGCAUACGAUAUACGAGAAUAACGUACUCCGUUUUCUGAAUGGACGAAUGGGUGCAGUUAACGGCUUCGUGGGAGGAACGCGAGGUCACAUCGACACUACUGCCAUACAGAGCGAGGAGGUGUGGACUGGAGUCACAUAUGGACUAGCUUCUCUCAUGAUUUAUGAAGGUAUGCACGAGCAAGCAUUUGUAACGGCUGGCGGAUUACAUAGCACUUUAGUAAAAAUGGGAUUAUCAUUUGAAACUCCAGAGGCACUGUAUGAGAACGGGAACCAUCGUUCUAUAGCGUACAUGCGACCCCUGGCGAUAUGGGCGAUGUAUCAGGCUAUAUUAACCAGGCCGUGCCCUAUAGUUCCUAUUUCUAACGGUCAAGCCCUACACUCGAAAGAAAAUUUAUAGUGUUGGCAAUUAUUUAGUUUGCAAUGCAAAAACAGGACACAAUUAAAAAGGUUUUUUUUUUCGUUUAACAUUAAGAUUAUCAUUGUGCCAAGCGGUUCCGUUUUAUUGAAAAUGUUUAUGUCAAAUCUUUAAUAUCCAUAGUAUAUUUACUCGAAAAUAAUCCUGUAAGAUAUUUGAAACUUUUGAAAAAAGACGUCAAAUGAAAAUUGCCUUAUGAUUUAAAAAAAACGCUUAGUAGCAUUAUGCCAAUUUAGACUUUUUGACGUCUUGGACGAAUUAUUAAGAAUGUACACAGUAUUUCUAUUCGCGAAAUAAAUAACUUUAAAUUGUAAAAAUAAUGAUGAUAUUUUUUUUUCUUGUCAUACAAAGACAAUAAAAUAAUUUACUCAUUUUUAAUGCAUGCGCUGAUUGAAAAUGAAUACAAUGGCAAGUAACUGCACAAAAUACGAUAAAAAAAUGAUUCAUAUUUUUUUUUUAAACCAAUUUUGUAUUUUAAAGUGAAAUAAGCCAUUUUUUACCAUACUUAAAUCCUAAUUUCAUUUUGUACUUUAAGUUUAUAUAACCACAGACAAAAAUUCAUAAAGAUUUUUUAUUACUUUCUUAAAAAUGACUUGAUAAUAAUUUCAGUAUUUUACUGCCUUUUAGAAUUUUAUUUUUUUUAUUUUCCGAUAAAGUGUAUUAUUUUUAGAUAUAGAAUUAAAGUAAUUAAGUAAAUCUCUUAAAUGUUUAUAUGGAACCUACACAGGUUGUGUCUUAAUUUUAUCUCAAUUUGCUGUUUUAUGUAUUGUAAUAAUGUUGCAUAGAUUUUGUCUUUUCGGGUUUAGCUCUAUUAACACCGAGUACACAGCCUGACCACGCACAAUAUUGUAUGUUUACAUUGACAACAUUGUGCUAGGUAAAAUUCAGCGUGCAAUAGAUGAUGAACAUCAUAAUUAUAUGCCAAAGAUAUAAAUGUAAUUAUUGCAUAUUAAUAAUUUUAAAUGAUAAUAAUUAUAUUAAGCUAAAGGGAACUGAAAAUAAAGACGAAGUAUUAUUACAUAUACAUUUGUAAAUAUUGAACACUGGACCCAGUAAAAAUGAUUAUUGCCACUAGAGUGAAAUAAGUGUAAGUUUAAGUGGUUUUAAAAUUAAAAAAAAUCUGAUUUUACAUUUUUAUUUUCAUGUAUUAUAAAUGCAUUUUGGGAA